rnacentral:rRNA from 1 species
AACGAACGCUGGCGGCAUGCCUAACACAUGCAAGUCGAACGAAGCCUUCGGGCUUAGUGGCGCACGGGUGCGUAACGCGUGGGAAUCUGCCCUUGGGUUCGGAAUAACAGUUAGAAAUGACUGCUAAUACCGGACGAUGUCUUCGGACCAAAGAUUUAUCGCCCAAGGAUGAGCCCGCGUAGGAGUAGGUAGUUGGUGGGGUAAUGGCCCACCAAGCCGACGAUCCUUAGCUGGUCUGAGAGGAUGAUCAGCCACACUGGGACUGAGACACGGCCCAGACUCCUACGGGAGGCAGCAGUGGGGAAUAUUGGACAAUGGGCGAAAGCCUGAUCCAGCAAUGCCGCGUGAGUGAUGAAGGCCUUAGGGUUGUAAAGCUCUUUUACCAGGGAUGAUAAUGACAGUACCUGGAGAAUAAGCUCCGGCUAACUCCGUGCCAGCAGCCGCCGUAACAC